CCUACGGGUGGCAGCAGUGGGGAAUAUUGGACAAUGGGCGAAAGCCUGAUCCAGCCAUGCCGCGUGUGUGAAGAAGGCCUUCGGGUUGUAAAGCACUUUCAGUGGGGAAGAAAGCCUUGGGGCUAAUACCCUCGAGGAAGGACAUCACCCACAGAAGAAGCACCGGCUAACUCCGUGCCAGCGGCCGCGGUAAUACGGAGGGUGCGAGCGUUAAUCGGAAUUACUGGGCGUAAAGCGCGCGUAGGCGGUCUGAUAAGCCGGUUGUGAAAGCCCCGGGCUCAACCUGGGAACGGCAUCCGGAACUGUCAGGCUAGAGUGCAGGAGAGGAAGGUAGAAUUCCCGGUGUAGCGGUGAAAUGCGCAGAGAUCGGGAGGAAUACCAGUGGCGAAGGCGGCCUUCUGGACUGACACUGACGCUGAGGUGCGAAAGCGUGGGUAGCAAACAGGAUUAGAUACCCCAGUAGUC
rnacentral:rRNA from 1 species